rnacentral:rRNA from 1 species
UACGUAGGGGGCAAGCGUUUGUCCGGAAUCAUUGGGCGUAAAGCGCGUGUAGGCGGUUUCGUAAGUCUGCUGUGAAAGUCGGAGGCUCAACCUUCGAAAGCCGGUGGAUACUGUGAGACUUGAGUACGGAAGAGGAGAGUGGAAUUCCUGGUGUAGCGGUGAAAUGCGCAGAUAUCAGGAGGAACACCAACGGCGAAGGCAGCUCUCUGGGACGUUUACUGACGCUGAGACGCGAAAGCGUGGGGAGCAAACAGG